UGGAUUGGAACCAUGUACCAGUUUGGACCAAUAGGCGUGCAGGCAUUGGUCUCUAUAUAAACUGGAUGCCGCGUGGGGUUAGUCCUUUCCGUGGUGAUGCCGGAGGUUGCGGAUCAUCAGCUGAGGUGUUCUCCUUGUAGUACUGUAUGUAGGACACUAUGGCUACAGUGCAGAUGAUAUGGUCAGCGUCCUCCAUGAGUAGAUCAGAAGACAAUCCUGGUGAGGAGGAUUACAGUAUAGUCUAUGGGAGACUGCUGCCCCAUUAUCUACUGAACUGGUGAUGUCCAUCUAUAAAACACAUAGGACACUAUGGCUACAGUGCAGAUGUGGUGGUGGUCGGCGUCCUCCAUGAGUAGAUCAGAAGACAAUCCUGGUGAGGAGGAUUACAGUAUAGUCUAUGGGAGACUGCAGCGCCAUUAUCUACUGAACUGGUGAUAUCCAUCUAGUAAAACACAUAGGACACUAUGGCUACAGUGCAGAUGAUAUGGUUAGCGUCCUCCAUGAGUAGAUCAGAAGACAAUCCUGGUGAGGAGGAUUACAGUAUAGUCAAUGGAAGACUGCAGCGCCAUUAUCUACUGAACUGAUACUUGGAUCACUGCCAUCAGACGUCUCUGCAGAAAGAAGCUGAAGAUUCCCAUCUCAUUCAUCAGAAUGGCAGCCUGGGUGAUGUGUUCUGUAAAGAGGGGACAGGGGUUCAUGCACUGGAAUAAAGCAUAUUUUUUUUCUUUAAGCCCGACUCUUUAUUUAAAUCUUACAAAAUAAUUGAACAUUGAACUAUAGUCAAAAAAAGUAGCACUACAGGGGUGCGGACACCUCCACAAGCCUUGGCGAGUCCUCCAGUCAAAGUAAUAGAAGUCUUGUGCAUUAAGGGUAUGUUCACACUAGGUAAUUACAGGCAGAUUCCACUGGCAUCAGCGCCUAAUGUCAAUGCCAGUGUUUCCCAACCAGGAUGCCUCCAGCUGUGGAAAGACUACAACACUCAGCAUGCCUUUGGCGGUCUGGGCAUGCUGGGAGUUGUAGUUUGGCCACAGCUGGAGGCAUCCUGGUUGGGAAACACU